CAGCAGUCAAGAAUAUUAGUCAAUGCUCGCAAGAGUGAACUAGCUAACUGAAAUCCCUGAUGUGUCAUUGGGGAUAACGUAAGGGAAAAUAAUGAUAUUACCUUACUAUUAGUGUUGUCCAAGUGCUCGUGCCAGAAGACUCGGUAAGGCGAGAGACGCAAACGUUAGUCGUCUUGAUCAGGCGUAAAGGGUUUGUAGGCAGCUUUAAGUAUCUAAUUUUAAGUUUAUCGUUAUAAUAUUUCUUUGUAAAUUUUUUUAUUAUAAUGUUUAAAUGAGGGUCAAUUAAAGCUAGAAUCUAAAAGAGGUUAAAACAAUGCUUGAUAACAGGUGUGUCAACCGUAAACAACAGGUAGAGUGUUAAGGGCGAAGGCUUUUAUCCAAUAAAGAUUGACGCUGAGAAACGAAGGUGAGGAAAGAAAAAAGGAUUAGAGACCCUUGUAUCCCUCACUGUCAACGAUGAAUGGUAGUUAUUAAAGAGAAAUUAUUUAGAGACGAUGUUAACGCGAAAACCAUUCCGCCUUGUGAGUACGACUGCAAAGUUGAAAACAAAAAAAUUAGUCGGUUUCGGAGCAAACGAAGUGAAGCAUGUUAUUUAAUUCGAUAAUCCGC
rnacentral:rRNA from 1 species